GGCCCGCAACUGCCUCCGUCCUGCCUGCUGGUCGUCGUCUCUCUUGCCCUCUCACUCUCCUGCUCCCUCCCUCGUCUCUCUCGCCCUCUGAGUCUCCUUCUCCCCUCGUCGUCUCUCUCGCCCUCUGAGUCUCCUUCACCCCUCGUUGUCUCUCUAGCCCUCUCACUCUCCUGCUCCCCUCCUUGUCUCUCUCGCCCUCUCACUCUCCUACUCCCAUCCUCGUCGAAGACAGAUAAAGAAACUGUGGCUGUCUGUCCUGCAAGACUGCAAUGAACAUGUGUAUGUGUGUGUUUUAAUGUUAAUUUCUACGUUUAUGUAUGUGUGUCUUUUAGUGCAAGACUGCAAUGAUGAUUCCUACGUUUUGUUUUAUUGCAAGUUGAUCAGCAAAUCCCCUUCAUAGAAUGUUGCCACAAGGGAGUUCAGUUUGAUUCAAGAGAACGAAUACAGAGUAGUUGUGGUCUAGACAAAUUCCUUCUUCAUGAGUAUAUGCAAGCCACUUGCAAACAAAACUCAUCUGAGAAGGCUGAAGUUAGAAAACGAAAUCUCGUACUGCUUGGGAGUUUAGGGUCCACGAGAAUUUGAUGCUUCUCUUUCUGGCCUUCGAUGUGUUGUUCUUUAAAUUUCCCCCACUGGGAUCUAUAUUUCAGUCUUCAAACCAAAAGCAAAUAAACAACUGUGGGCUGCACCACCAUGUUCAUUCUUCUACUAUAGGGGUAUUCAGUUCUAGUAAAAACUUUAACAAAUGGUGAGUCUGAGCAUUCAUAUUAAUGAGGAGAAAUAAACAAGCUAGCUUUGUUAUGCUCUUUAGCCUUGAAGUCCACCUCGAUCUUUAAGCUUGAUUCUGCAUAAUUUCCCGUCAACCAGUUGAGGCCUUGUGAAAUAUCAUAUUUUCUGUUAAGGGAGUAGCAAAAGUGGCAGAAAACAGUUGUAGUGCUUGUCGAUCAUCUGCAUUGGCAGGUUGAACACAUUGGCUUCUGGACUGAAUUCUGGCCGAUUGUUCAUUUCAAGUUGUAUUCAGGAUCGCCAAGUUGGAUAUUGUUUACAAUUGCUGCUUCAUGCAUUUAUUUGUCCUUGUAUGUGAAUUGCAACAAUAGACUUUCCACUGUCAAAGUGAUAGUUGCUUUAUACAUUUGAAACGUACUUAGAUUUUUUUAUUUUGCUUCUUACCACCAUGUUCGUCCCCAUAUAUUCUUUUUUUCUUUUCUUCUGUUAUUUCUUUCUUGCUUUUGCAAUAACUUGAGCCUAUUAAAUCCAUUCAUCUGUUAAACUUUAAGCACCAUGUUUGGGGCUUUUCAUUGUUGCAGCUAAAUUUUGUAUACUUGUUUUCCUCCAAGUGCCUAGACUUGCUGUUAUCAUUGUUGGGACCAGGAAGGACUCACAGAGCUAUGUGAGCAUGAAGAAGAAAGCAUGUGCUGAAGAAAGCAUGUGCUGAAGAAAGCAUUGCUGCAGCUAAAUUUUGUAUGCUUAUUAAAAGGACGGUUCCCUAUACUAAAAACACAAGUGUCAUUUCCUUACCGUACACAAGUUGCAAUUGUGUUAGCCAUGUGUGUUCUACACAAUUUCAUUAUAGACCAUAAUCCUCAUGCAGAACAGUUUGAUGUUGAUGAAAGUGCAUUUGACGAUGCAAAUAAGAGUACAUCGGUUCUAAACGAAGUGGAAAGUGUGACACAAAGUAUUGAUCGAGGAUCGAAUAAUGAUCUGCACACUUCAAUAACAUCUCAAAUGUACGUGGAUUUUCAAAAUCGUAGGCAAUCGAAGAUGAAGCCCCGGCAUAUUUGAUUUUGUUGAGCUUUUUUUUGUUAUGGUGGAUGCGUACAUGACACUACAUAUGUACUUGCUUCUAUGGAUACUCUACACAUGCACUUGGC